CGGAUCCCGGGGGGCGGGGCCUGCUUCCCUUGCCUCGCCCCCACUGACUCAUUUUACUCGCCUUUGGAAAAUAAGGAUAAAUUUAAUGUGCAGCGGAGAGGUCCCUGACUUUGGUUUGAGAUGAGGGUUCGAAUCCAGCCUUCGCUUACUGAGAACGUGAUGUGGGUCUAGACGUGCACAUGCAAGUCCUUCGUUUUCCUGCUCGUCGGGUAGACUGCCCCCUGGCGGCCGCGCUGGGACUGCGUCUGCAGGUAGGAGGGCAGGACACAGGGGCGACAGAACCAGUCAUGGUCCCUUCUUUGGCUGCAGUUCCUGGGAUUCUCCUGUGUAUGGUUCUGCCUUUCUUCUACAGUGCCUGCUCUCAGCCCAGUGGUGUCCUAGGAAAGAAGUCUUCAUAAAACAGUUUUUAAUGUUCUUGCCAAGUGUGGGGAUCACUGUGGAAUGGGGUGGCUAGAAAGUUGUCUUGGAAGCAAGAGCCUUGAAUUGAACCUUGGAGAGGAAAAGAAGGCUUAGACAAACUGGUGGGGGCAGGAGAAGCUUCUAUCCUUGGAGUUAAGCACGGAAGCGUAUCUGAGUCGUGCUUGGGAAUGCACAGGAGUAAACGAGCAAUUCCAGCAACAACAGCAUU